GAGAACUACCUCUUCAGACAGCAGGGCUGCCAAGCCUCACGCUUUGAGUGUGACAGUCACGCAAUUUGACCCAUUCUCACACCACACGCCACACUUGCCAUUUCUCACGCUUAUUUCCCCAUUCAUUACUCUAUUUUUUUUUCUCAUGAUAAUAAGCUUUGGUCCUCGCGGCUUCGGGUGGUUAUGUAGUCGCGCGGUGUCCACUUUGCGAUGUAUACGUUUGACAGUUUGUAAACAAUCUCCCGCGACCUGCGCGUGUGAGCAUCGGGGUGGAGCGUCUUGGUGGAGCGUCUUUGUAUAUAGUGCCAGAUUUGACUUCUGGACUGCAUUCUGCAACAUUUUCAAGAAGGAACUUGACAACCUGACAACGACCGCCUCCCAAGAACUUGACAACCUGACAACGACCGCCUCCCAAGAUACUGAUUCGGCCCAUCCCAGAUUGUGUUCGACGAUGGUCGAUGAAUACAUGGACGAGAACGGGAACGGAGAUCCACUACCAGGCCCCCUGAAAAGAAAUACCAGGCCCCUGUAAAACGACUACAUAGUGUGAUAUUGUAAAUAGUGUGAUUUUUUAAUAUAGUGUGAUAUUGUAAAUAGUGUGAUUUUUUUUUUUAUUUGUAAACUCCAAU
ensembl:lncRNA